rnacentral:sRNA from 1 species
GGGGAAUAGGAUUUAUGUAUUUAAUGUCUA